UUUCAGUAAAGACCAAGGUCCUUACCCAAGAGCAAGAAAUCGAAGAUGAAGGAGUAAGAAAACCAAAGGCUCGGUGGAUUUUCGGCGGGUUUGGCUUGGAUGUUCUUGGAUGGCUUUGGGGCUGAGUUUGAAGGAUGUGAAGGUUUUCUUGGAUGGCUUUGGGGCUGAGUUUGAAGGAUGUGAAGGGGCUGUUUCUUGAAGAUUUUUAGCAUAAUUGAAGAAGAGGGAGUUUUUCUUGGAGAGGAAUUGAAGAGAGGAAGG
rnacentral:lncRNA from 1 species